rnacentral:lncRNA from 10 species
ACUUAUAACACAAACGUUCAUGAAAUGGCCAUAUUGAAAGAUGAAGGGUCUUCUCCGGGCCUUCGUGAAAGAACCUAAUAAGGAUAAGUAAUAACUUUCCUGGAUCCCACUCUGAAAUUCUUCCUUGUUCACUGUUUCCGAGUAUUUCCUUUAUGGCCUAGCCUGUUGACUACUCCCUCAUGGGCUGACCUUCUCUGAUGCCAUGCUUUGACUCACGCAUUCUAUUUUGCUUCCCACUUGAAGGUUGGAUGGUCCAGUUCUUUAAAAGAAUUAUUGGCUUCUUCUUGGGUGACCCAUUGGAUAUAGAAAUUGGUCUUUGAGUUUAAAAGGUUUGUAUCUGGGGAAUUGAAAUAUUCAAUUAUCAGUUUCUGCAAAGUAGCUCCUCUGUAUUGCACUAUUGAGUAAGGAAAGUUCAGUUUAUUCUUAUUGGAUCUGAAAGGCAGGAAAAGGGGAUGUGGGUAGUGUCCUGACAGGAAGAUAUGGCACACUGAAAUUAAGAAAUUAAGGAUGAUUUAAUGAGUAUAUAAUUUCAUAUGUAUGGGUAUAGUUGCGGAAAACCAAGAAGGGUAUGCAGAAUAUUAAAGCUAACAAAAGUAAGGAACCAGCUAAUAUUGUUAGUCCUGACUGGAAAACAAGAAUAAGUGGUUUCUGGAAGUUGAAAAGGAAGCUAAAGUUUUUAUCUGUG